rnacentral:piRNA from 1 species
UGAUUGUGAAACGCAAACUAAGGAUAGA